rnacentral:lncRNA from 1 species
UUUAAACGAAAUAUCAUUAUAUUCAUCAUUCAUAUUCAUCAUUCAUGCACAGCACCAUAGAUAUCAUACAUUAAAACAUCCAAACCAAACAAGCAGAAUAAGCUCCCCUUACCUGGGAUUCCUGAAAACGUUACAAACUUCAAAGAUGUUCCUUCCUCACGUCCUCUUCCUUUAUUACGUACGAAUAGCCAAACCAAUAAUCCUUCCCUCUCUUUUCAAAACACUCAAAGUACGUAUGAAGGUAAGUUCUAGGGUUUUUCUUUUUCCUUUUACGAGACUAACAGAUUGUAUCUCUUAACUAUAACCUAAUACCCUUUAAAUACUCCUCACAACUCUCACAAUUGGGCCCUGAUGAUUGGACUAUAAACCCAUUUUUUAAUUCUAACUAAAAAAAACUUAUCAUACAAGAAAAUAAUAUUACGUUAGUAAGAACCCAAAUAAC